GGGGCUGUAGCUCAGUGGUACAGCACUUGCUUAACACGCAUGAGGCAAUGGGUUCAAUCCUUAGCAUCA
rnacentral:tRNA from 1 species